GCGGGAAUAGCUCAGCUGGUAGAGCGCAACCUUGCCAAGGUUGAGGUCGCGGGUUCGAGACCCGUUUCCCGCUCCA
rnacentral:tRNA from 4 species